CAGAUCACAUACACAAUGGUGAAGGCUGUGGCUGUGCUUACCGGCAGUGAGGGUGUCAAGGGCACCAUCUUCUUCACCCAGGAGGGAGAUGGCCCGACCACCGUGACGGGAAGUGUCACUGGACUCAAGGAAGGGCUCCACGGCUUCCAUGUGCACGCUCUUGGUGACACCACCAAUGGCUGCAUGUCAACUGGACCACACUUCAACCCCGCUGGUCAUGUGCAUGGGGCACCCGAAGAUGAAAUCCGCCAUGCUGGUGAUCUUGGAAAUGUGACAGCUGGAGCGGAUGGUGUUGCUAACAUCAAUGUUACUGACUGCCAUAUCCCCCUUACUGGACCAAAUUCAAUUGUUGGCCGUGCUGUUGUCGUCCAUGGUGACGCUGAUGAUCUUGGCAAGGGUGGACAUGAGCUGAGCAAGAGCACUGGAAACGCUGGUGCCCGUGUUGCUUGCGGAAUCAUCGGGCUCCAGGGCUAG
rnacentral:rRNA from 1 species